GGCCGGGCUUCCAGCCCGCGAGUCCUGGCGCUCGAGCCGUCGGCGGCCGGGGCCGCGCGGGGCGGGGAGGAGGUGGGUGGGGACCCUCCGGAAGCUCCGCACCCCGUCUGCACGUCGCGCAGCCGCCUGGGGCCCUCGGAGGGCUUCCGCCCGGCCGCGCUGCGGGCCUCCCUCUCUUCGGAGUCCGGAGGCGCCCUGGUCACAUCCGCGGGCGGCGGGGGGCACCGCGGGAAGCCGAAACUUCUCAGAUCCGCGCUAGAACCGAGGCCACUCCGUGUUGCGCCCCCGCGCCAGCUCGGAACAGGCGCCCCUUCUGCGUAGUCGCACGGAGGCUCCGAGAAACACGGGCCAAGUGAAUACCGGUGCCCUUGUGGACGCGGGAGUGCGGGCGUGAGCACGCGUAGGUGACGCUCGGGCUACAGCGGGGCUCGUGGGCAGCUGUGCCCGCGCAGGGGCACAGUGCUCUGGCAGCCCGUGUAGGGAUUGUUUCCCCCGGCUGCUGACAGGAAGAGCCGGAGUUUGCCCACGAGGCCCUGAGUCCGGGCGAGGGACCACCCCUAGGUAAAGCCUCAGAAGACAACCUGGAGCUGCUUCACAGUCAGGAAUAAGCACGUACAACCAGCUCUGAUGCCGCCCCUCCCCGGACACCCAGACCUUCCACUCAAAGGGAGAUGCGUGAUGGGAAUGAGUGAUGACAGCAGGACUUCAGAUGAAGGGAAGCGCUUUGGGGUCCCCAGACUCUGCCCCCCUGGGAGAUGGGGGGAGCUACAGAAGCAUAUAUGGAGCCAAGUCUAAAAGUCA